GGAAGAAUGGCAGAGCGGCUGAAUGCGGCUGUCUUGAAAACAGCUUACGGGCAACCGUACGGGGGUUCGAAUCCCUCUUCUUCCG
rnacentral:tRNA from 1 species